CGUACAGGUCUCCGUAGGUGAACCUGCGGAGGGAUCAUUACAAGAACGCCCGGGCUACGGCCUGGUUAUUCAUAACCCUUUGUUGUCCGACUCUGUUGCCUCCGGGGCGACCCUGCCUUCGGGCGGGGGCUCCGGGUGGACACUUCAAACUCUUGCGUAACUUUGCAGUCUGAGUAAACUUAAUUAAUAAAUUAAAACUUUUAACAACGGAUCUCUUGGUUCUGGCAUCGAUGAAGAACGCAGCGAAAUGCGAUAAGUAAUGUGAAUUGCAGAAUUCAGUGAAUCAUCGAAUCUUUGAACGCACAUUGCGCCCCCUGGUAUUCCGGGGGGCAUGCCUGUUCGAGCGUCAUUUCACCACUCAAGCCUCGCUUGGUAUUGGGCAACGCGGUCCGCCGCGUGCCUCAAAUCGUCCGGCUGGGUCUUCUGUCCCCUAAGCGUUGUGGAAACUAUUCGCUAAAGGGUGUUCGGGAGGCUACGCCGUAAAACAACCCCAUUUCUAAGGUUGACCUCGGAUCAGGUAGGGAUACCCGCUGAACUUAAGCAUAUCA
rnacentral:rRNA from 1 species